UACGAAGGGGGCUAGCGUUGUUCGGAAUCACUGGGCGUAAAGCGCACGUAGGCGGAUCGUUAAGUCGGGGGUGAAAGCCCAGGGCUCAGCCCUGGAAUUGCCUUUAAGACUGCAUCGCUUGAAUCAUGGAGAGGUGAGUGGAAUUCCGAGUGUAGAGGUGAAAUUCGUAGAUAUUCGGAAGAACACCAGUGGCGAAGGCGACUCACUGGACAUGUAUUGACGCUGAGGUGCGAAAGCGUGGGGAGCAAACAGG
rnacentral:rRNA from 1 species